GUAAGGCAUUGAUGUUGGGAUCAUUGUGUCAAAGAAGGUUGACCGUCGGAAAUCGGUGUUGAGGACGUUGUGGGAUUGUCGGCGUGUCGCUGGAAUCGGGGAGGCGGAAACUAGAGUUUCGUCGCUUGUCGGGUAAGGAAGGCAAGGUUUUUGGAAUAGGGUCGAGCCGCAGACGCACACCCAACAGCUCCGGCAGCUUCGCACGUGUACACAGUGCGGGUCGGCUCGCACAUGUACGAAAUCGGCUCGGUUCCGUCAAUUCCCGCAGCUAACUUGGCGGCUUAGUUGGCCGGUUUGGCAAUUAGGCUUAGCGGCAAGGUAUCACUCUAAUAUAUCGAUUCCAAGGUUUUUGACCCUUCCGAAGCUGUUUCUGCCCUUAGUUUUACCAUCCGAGGGCGUAUUUAACCGCUGGGACUAGCUCGUUGAGAAUGACUUCAACCAAGACCAUCGAGGUAAAGGCAAGGCGCCAAUGUACGGUUGACGGUGGAGCUGAGGCCACCAUGGAAGUUGAAGACGUGAUAUUUUUAGGAGUUUACUUUUAUUAGACUGUUUUAAGUUAUAGCAUUGAGUAUUGUUUUAGUUGGAUUUAUUUUGAAUUCAGUAUUGAAGGUUUAUUUUCGGAGUUUAGGUUUUGUUUUGGAUUCAUGAACAUUUAUGAAAGACUCUUUCAAGGUUAUUUUUGA